rnacentral:sRNA from 1 species
UCAGCUCCAGAAGCCCGCCGGGAGUCAG